GAUGAACGCUGGCGGCGUGCCUAAUACAUGCAAGUCGAGCGAACAGACGAGGAGCUUGCUCCUUUGACGUUAGCGGCGGACGGGUGAGUAACACGUGGGUAACCUACCUAUAAGACUGGGAUAACUUCGGGAAACCGGAGCUAAUACCGGAUAAUAUUUCGAACCGCAUGGUUCGAUAGUGAAAGAUGGCUCUGCCAUCACUUAUAGAUGGACCUGCGCCGUAUUAGCUAGUUGGUAAGGUAACGGCUUACCAAGGCAACGAUACGUAGCCGACCUGAGAGGGUGAUCGGCCACACUGGAACUGAGACACGGUCCAGACUCCUACGGGAGGCAGCAGUAGGGAAUCUUCCGCAAUGGGCGAAAGCCUGACGGAGCAACGCCGCGUGAGUGAUGAAGGUCUUCGGAUCGUAAAACUCUGUUAUUAGGGAAGAACAAAAGUGUAAGUAACUGUGCACGUCUUGACGGUACCUAAUCAGAAAGCCACGGCUAACUACGUG
rnacentral:rRNA from 1 species